UUCAUUCUAGAAACACUUUCCAGUACCUCUACUUUGUUACGACUUAUUCCAAUUUUUAAAUGAAAGCGACGGGCAAUAUGUACAUAUUUUAAUUUUUAAUCAUUUUACUAUAUUAAAUAAAAUUACAUUUAAAUCCACCUUUAUUUUAAUAUUACAAAAAAAAAUCCAUUUAAAUAUAUUUAUUGUAAUCCAUCAUAUUCUUAAUUAUAUUCUACAUCUUGAUCUGAAUUAAUUUCUAUUUAUAAUUUUUAAAUAUUAUUAUUAUUUUAAAAUAUUUUUUUAACAACGAUAUAUAAAAUUUUAAAUUAAGUAAAUUUAAUCGUGGAUUAUCAAUUAUUAGACAGAUUCCUCUAAAUGAACUAAAAUACCGCCAAAUUAUUUAAGUUUCAAUAAAUUAUUAUUUACUAUUUUAGUAUUUAUAAAUUAAAUUUUA
rnacentral:rRNA from 1 species